rnacentral:lncRNA from 14 species
AUGGGUAAUCAAGUAAUGAUCAGUGAUUUAUAAUUCAAAAAUAGGUUCAUUGGAUGGCACCUUGAAAGCUAAAGAGGACCUGUCAUCUGGAUGGACAGGACAGCUCUGUGCUCUGUCACUGCAGUUCAGCUGGAAAAGGCAGAAACAGGGGAGGCUGAAGUGCAGCUCGCUUCUCCUUGCUGCUCCUGGACGGCUCUGACUGCUGCUGCUGCACUUUGUACAGCUGCAUAUCAGCUCCCUGAUGUGGGGUCCUGCAUGUGGGUCUGCAUAGCCACGGCACAGACUGAAGCCUCCCUCAUGAUAACUACAUCAAUAUAG